UUCUGCCUCCCCCAGCCAGGCCCUGCCCACGGGGCCCCUCGGAGUCUGAUUCUAGACUGAGCGCCCCCACGUAUUAGACGAAGUUGCUGGCUCUCCAGUGUGAUAGUCUCUACCACUGGCAGCACGCCUGAGCUCUCAGGCUCCGGGCUUCAUUCAGCAAGCUGGGUUUCAAGAGCAAGCCAAGGCCAAGGACUUGGGACAGAGCUGUUUUGGUGGGAGAGGAGGCAGGAAAGGCUUGGGCCAUGAGGGAGGCAGGGGGCUCAGGUGGAGGUGAAACAGGAGGCGCUUAACUGUAGUUGACAUGGGAUAUGUCUGUGAUACAUGUACUUGUGGCUGAAGUCAAUGGUGUGCCUGUGUGUGCGUGUGUGUGCGUGUGUGUGUGUGUGUCUAGUAGUCGCUGUUGUGCAUACACAACAUUUGUCCAAAAAGGCUCUUAUUUUUCAAGAGCCGGCCUGAUUGGGGCAGUGUGUGUCCUGGAACUGCCAAGGCAGUGUGUGUGUGUGUGUGUGUGUGUGUGUGUGUGUGUGUUGGGGGUAGAUGUGACAAACGCAGCUCUUGAUAAGGCACCAUCGAAAGGUUUCUCAAUUUCUUCGGUGAUUGGGGAUUUUUUUUAUGUUCCUGCUGCACAUGAAAUGAAAGGCUUCUAUUUGAUUCAUUCGUUUAGGCAUGUGCUGAGCUCAGCCCAGAAGAUUGUUCUCUAUGUUGGGACUGGCCCUCCCAGAGAUAAAGGGAGCACAAAGUGUGAUUCCCACGGCUCUGAACCUUUGGCCUGGCAGCACAGUGCAGAAAGCAUGAGUAGGGGUGCAGGUCCCCAGGCUGUGGCGGGAUUCCUCAAGCUGUGGUGUGCGUAUGCAGGCUGUGGUGUAAGUCCCCAGGCUAUGAUGAGUUCCCAUCCCGCGCUCCUGGAGCCUAAAGAGAAAAGGACUUUGUCGCUGCCUUGACCUCAACUUUGGCUUCUCCCUGUGUCUAGUUACUGUGAAGAAACAUAGAAUGGCAGGCUGCCCCAUAGUGAUGGUGCUCUCUCUGAUACAUGGGAGGGUUGCCUUGGUGGUCCAUGGGCCAGUGAAUCAGCAUUGAGGCAAGCCGUCGGGUUGGGGGCUGGAGUGGCCAAGGUGUCAGCUUUCUGGAGACUUGCAGACACAGAGAAACGUGGAGACCAUUUCUGUUUGGGGGUCUGAACAGGAAAAGUACCCCCAGCCCCCAUGUGGAUCCUGAGGAAGGAAAAGAGAUUGAGUGCCUGUCCAGUCUGUGAAGGGUGGACCCAAAAGCCCCGUGGGCUCAGCACUGGCAACAACCACGUAUGGACACAAACAAGCCAUGGAUAUGGGUAGCGCCCCGGGAGUAGGAGUGGGGCACUCUGGGCCAUGCUUGGAGUCAUCUUGCCUGGAAGAUCCAUGUGGCCUCGCGGGGCUCUGGGUGGGGUGGGACCAGCUUCCUCCUUCCGACCACAUGGAAACAACUGUCAACCGGCACCAUGGCAGUGGGACUGGUCAGAGUUCUAGUUCUCCUGGCCCAGAGGUGGAAGCUGGACCUUCUACCUCCAUCUUUUGAAGCAUGUAGGUCUUGGGAUUCCUGAGCAAUUCAAAGGGAGAGGAAGCGUCCAGAGGAAGGUAUAUACUUCCUUCAGGUAUUGUAGAUUGGGUCUUGAUGGUUUUAUUUAUUUAUUUAUUUAUUUGUUUGUUUGUUUAUUUAUUUAUAUUUUUAAAGAUUUUAUUUCUUUGGGAGAGAGACAGAGACAGAGAGACAGAGAGAGAGAGAGAGAGAGAGCACAAGCAGGAGGAGGAGCAGAUGGAGAGGGAGAAGCAGACUCCCUGCUGAGCAGCACCCCAUGCCCCCCCGCCCCCGCCCCGGAUGUGGGGCUUGAUUCCAGGACCCUGAGAUCACGACCUGAGCCGAAGGCAGACAUUUAACCAACAGAGCCACCCAGGUGUCCCGGGUCUGGAUGGUUUUAAUUAAAAUUGCAAAAUCAAAUAAGUGCGAUAGUGUUUGCACCCUAAUUUCUGUUGCCACUCACAGUGUUUACUGAAACAAGAGCUUCGGGCAGCCCAGGUGGCACAGCGGUUUAGCGCCUGCCUUUGGCCCAGGGCCUGAUCCCGGAGUCCCGGGACCGAGUCCUGCGUCAGGCUCCCUGCAUGGAGCCUGCUUCUCCCUCUGCCUGUGUCUCUGCCUCUCUCUCUCUCUCUCUCUCUCUCUCUCAUGAGUAAAUAAAAUCUUAAAAAAAAAAAAAAAAGAAACA
rnacentral:lncRNA from 12 species